UAGCUACAGGCUUAACACAUGCAAGUCGAGGGGCAGCAGGAUCUAGCAAUAGAUUGCUGGCGACCGGCGCACGGGUGAGUAACACGUAUCCAACCUGCCGAUAACUCGGGGAUAGCCUUUCGAAAGAAAGAUUAAUACCCGAUGGUAUAAUCAGACCGCAUGGUUUGAUUAUUAAAGAAUUUCGGUUAUCGAUGGGGAUGCGUUCCAUUAGGCAGUUGGUGAGGUAACGGCUCACCAAACCUUCGAUGGAUAGGGGUUCUGAGAGGAAGGUCCCCCACAUUGGAACUGAGACACGGUCCAAACUCCUACGGGAGGCAGCAGUGAGGAAUAUUGGUCAAUGGGCGCAGGCCUGAACCAGCCAAGUAGCGUGAAGGAUGACUGCCCUAUGGGUUGUAAACUUCUUUUAUAUGGGAAUAAAGUUUUCCACGUGUGGAAUUUUGUAUGUACCAUAUGAAUGAGGAUCGGCUAACUCCGUGCCAGCAGCCGCGGUAAUACGGAGGAUCCGAGCGUUAUCCGGAUUUAUUGGGUUUAAAGGGAGCGUAGGUGGACAGUUAAGUCAGUUGUGAAAGUUUGCGGCUCAACCGUAAAAUUGCAGUUGAUACUGGCUGUCUUGAGUACAGUAGAGGUGGGCGGAAUUCGUGGUGUAGCGGUGAAAUGCUUAGAUAUCACGAAGAACUCCGAUUGCGAAGGCAGCUCACUGGACUGCAACUGACACUGAUGCUCGAAAGUGUGGGUAUCAAACAGGAUUAGAUACCCUGGUAGUCCACACAGUAAACGAUGAAUACUCGCUGUUUGCGAUAUACAGUAAGCGGCCAAGCGAAAGCAUUAAGUAUUCCACCUGGGGAGUACGCCGGCAACGGUGAAACUCAAAGGAAUUGACGGGGGCCCGCACAAGCGGAGGAACAUGUGGUUUAAUUCGAUGAUACGCGAGGAACCUUACCCGGGCUUAAAUUGCAUUUGAAUAAUCUGGAAACAGGUUAGCCGCAAGGCAAAUGUGAAGGUGCUGCAUGGUUGUCGUCAGCUCGUGCCGUGAGGUGUCGGCUUAAGUGCCAUAACGAGCGCAACCCUUAUCUUUAGUUACUAACAGGUCAUGCUGAGGACUCUAGAGAGACUGCCGUCGUAAGAUGUGAGGAAGGUGGGGAUGACGUCAAAUCAGCACGGCCCUUACGUCCGGGGCUACACACGUGUUACAAUGGGGGGUACAGAAGGCAGCUACCUGGUGACAGGAUGCUAAUCCCAAAAGCCUCUCUCAGUUCGGAUCGAAGUCUGCAACCCGACUUCGUGAAGCUGGAUUCGCUAGUAAUCGCGCAUCAGCCAUGGCGCGGUGAAUACGUUCCCGGGCCUUGUACACACCGCCCGUCAAGCCAUGAAAGCCGGGGGUAAGGGAAGUACGUAACCGCAAGGAGCGUCCUAGGGUAAAC
rnacentral:rRNA from 1 species